ensembl:lncRNA
AUGGGAUCAGAAAAAAGAAUGAUGGGACCUCUAAUAAUUAUUCUACUGCUGGCAGAUGGAAUGAUGUCAGCAGAAAAUACAACUGCUGCACUUAAUGCUACAGUGACCGCAACUGCGGUCAACAUGACCUCACCAGGCGUUAACAUGACCACAAUGUCCACCAUGUCACCAUCAGAUGUACCUAUACCUGUCAAUGUAACAGACGCCCCAACUGGGGCAACUAAUGCCACAGCAGCCCCUACAGCAUUCAACAUGACCUCACCAGCAGUCAACAUGACCUCACCAGCAGUCAACUUGACCUCACCAGCAGUCAACUUGACCUCACCAGGAGUCAACAUGACCACAAUGUCCACAAGGUCACCUUCAGGUAACAAAGUCUCCAACCCUCAAUAAUCGUUGUUUAAUUUUAUUAAAACAUAUAUAAACCCCCACUCAAACUUGUACAAUUUUGGUGAUGGAUAAUAUUGAAUGU